rnacentral:rRNA from 1 species
GAUGAACGCUGGCGGCGUGCCUAAUACAUGCAAGUCGAGCGAACAGACGAGGAGCUUGCUCCUCUGAUGUUAGCGGCGGACGGGUGAGUAACACGUGGAUAACCUACCUAUAAGACUGGGAUAACUUCGGGAAACCGGAGCUAAUACCGGAUAACAUGUUGAACCGCAUGGUUCAACAGUGAAAGACGGUCUUGCUGUCACUUAUAGAUGGAUCCGCGCCGAAUUAGCUAGUUGGUAAGGUAACGGCUUACCAAGGCAACGAUGCGUAGCCGACCUGAGAGGGUGAUCGGCCACCCUGGAACUGAGACACGGUCCAGACUCCUACGGGAGGCAGCAGUAGGGAAUCUUCCGCAAAGGGCGAAAGCCUGACGGAGCAACGCCGCGUGAGUGAAGAAGGUCUUCGGAUCGUAAAACUCUGUUAUUAGGGAAGAACAAAUGUGUAAGUAACUAUGCACGUCUUGACGGUACCUAAUCAGAAAGCCACGGCUAACUACGUG